UGCCGUGGAAGUGUAAGCCAAACAAACCUCUUCCUCUCCAAGUUGCUUUUGCACUUGGCAUGUGCCAGCUUCUCACUGGUGCUCACCGGCUUGGCGUCUCAUCUCCUCGGUUUCCUGGCUUCUUUUGCCCGGAUUCUGAUCAAAUGGCCAAGGGCAUUUGACCCUCCUCCUGGCCUAAGGCUGUAGUGUUGUUCUUGGUCUGCCUGGCACAGCUGCGGUACGGUGCUGGCCCGAGUCACAGGCACCUGAGACGUUUGCCUCGGAGUUGGAAGGUGACUCGCCGUUUGUCCCAGGAGUCAUGGACGUCAACUCAGGUCCUGGCUGGUGUAGUGCUAUGGACCCAGACAUGGCCCUCUGCAGCGUCACCAUGGCCCUGGGUGGCAGCACAGGCAACUCAGAUUAGCCUGCUCUUGGUGGACACCAACACGGACUCAGGUGGCUGUCCAGACCCCAGACAUCUGCUCAGCCCUCAGUGCUAACUGAAGCCAUGGACAUCAACACAGACCCUGGCUGUUGUAGGACCAUGGACCUAGACGUGGCUGUUGGCAGUGCUCAGGUCCAGAAGUCAUUAUGGCCCCAGGUGGCAAACCCGGCUACUCAGCUUGGCAUGGCCCCAGCAUCAGCAUGACCUUUGGACAUGCCGCCCAGACACCAGGCAUUCCUGUGGCCUUUGGUGGCAACAUAGGCCAUGGACAUCAACACAAACCUCAGUUGGGGUAGAACCAUGGACUUAGACGUGGCUGUUGGAGGCAGCCUGGGCAUGGAUAUCCCAAGUGGGCCACCCACCCUCACCGCCUUCAUUCCUUUAGUCCCGCCUCUUCCCACAGCGCAUGAACCAUUCUACUUCUUUCUCUCUCAUUUCUCCACUAUGGAUGUGCUCAUCAAAAUGGCUCCUACCCUGCCCAGCAAGCCUGUGGAUGUCUUCAGCCAGCCUGGGCCAUGUAGGCCUGUGGGUAUCUUCUUCUGCCUGGCCUGUGAAUUCCAAAACACUUAUUUUUUAAGACAAUGAAAUUCCUGGUGUAUUUUAACACUUUAUAUUUUAUUUACUUUUGUAGAGUAUUUUUGAACUUAGGACCUUGUCCAUUCUGAACAGCAACAGAAAUCAAACUAGGAGAGUGGUCAUAUGUUUUAAAUAAAUUCUAA